rnacentral:lncRNA from 1 species
AUAUCCAGCUCGGGGCAGUGGGGUUCAGAGUGAGGAGGGAUCACUUCGCUGUGAAGAGCUGUGUGGACGGGAGUCUGCCCAGGAGCCCAGGGAUGAAGGAAAUCUUGGACAUCUUUUGUUGUGUCACCACUUGUUAUCUGCUGCUAGCUGGUGUCGGGGGACUGAAAGACAAGAUAACUGACAUGCAGGAGUGAAUGCAGUAGUGUGUUGGCAAAAGAGUGUGCCUGACAAGCCUCCGGAAUGUGUGCCACAGUGUUCAGUUUAACCUGCUUCCAUCAGACCUGGCCGCUCUGAUGGCAUGGCCCUCAGCAUGGUCCCUUGGGGAUGGGAUGAGUUAUGAAACUGGGCAUGAGAGCAUUAGGAUGUCUAUGUAUUAAUUAUGGCAAUAGAUUAUAGCAAUCACUUUGUUCCAAGUGGAUGCUCAGAGCAGUGCUGGGUCACCUUUCAGGACUUUUCCCUUGACUUUUGUGCCAGUAUGAUUAUGUAUGAGGGAUUUCAAAUAUCUCUAUUUCUUCGAUUUCUAAAUUUGUAUAGCUUCUUUCAUUUCUAUGCUUUUCCAUACUUAGAGCAAUUUAAUAAUAAUCUGUGGCUGAAGUUCUUUGGUCCUGUUCUUUGGCUUUGCCUUGAUCCAUAAAGGUGACUGUUGCUGUUAAUGGCUAUAUGCAUAUGCAAUAGCUGAGUGCGCGUUUUUUUAGCUAACAAAUUACAUGCAGCAGUAUCAUAUUGUGAAAGUAUAGCAUAAGGGACUUGGCCUUGAAAGCAUUAUGACAGUACAAGUAAAAAAUCAUGAUUUAUAGGAAGGAAACAGUAUUUUCCAGAGUUGAAAGGCCAUCAGUGUUGUCUCCAUCUAUGUCAUACUGGUGACAAUAAACAAGGAAAACCUGAAUUUCUUGAUUUGCAACAUGCUUUCAUUUCUCUUUAGGGGAGAGAAUCUGGUUAUAAUGGCGAAAACAUACAGCUUUAAAGCUGCAUCGCUUAUUCGGGAUCUUUUGUUCCAUGUAUGCACACGUUUUUCCCUUACCACCUGCUGACCCUGCCCAACUUGCAGCCUGCUUAGCAGUGCCACGUGGCAUGUGCAUCUCUUGCUGUACAUGAAUAUGGAUUCGACAUCAGCUGAUGUUUUGCCCUUCAGUUCUACUGUGCAGAUUAGUAAGAAGGUACGGAGCAGAUCAAAUUGCUAAAUUAUUGAAGUAGAAAUACAAUCCAAAUUCUCCUCCAUUUGCUUCCUCUUGCAAAAAAAAAAAAACACAGGAUGAUACAUUUUGAGCACGUAUAACAAAUGGUCCAGAUGAGUACCAGAGAGAAGAUAUAUUAAACUAUAUUUCUUUUUGUGUGUGUUGCUUGGUGUAUAAUGCACUUCAGUCAAUAUCAAAUGUUGUUUUAAAUAUCAUCCAGAAUGUGUAUUGGUUUUUGACCUCAGCUCAUAUUUCCAACGCUGAUGUCAUGUGCACAAAAUAAAUUGUGCAGCGGUCUGGCAUUAACAACCUCAUCUUGUGAGUUAAAUAAACCAAGAACAUUUUAUUGG